GACGAACGCUGGCGGCGUGCUUAACACAUGCAAGUCGAACGAUGAAGCCGGAGCUUGCUCCGGUGGAUUAGUGGCGAACGGGUGAGUAACACGUGAGCAAUCAGCCCUUGACUCUGGGAUAACUGCGGGAAACUGUAGCUAAUACCGGAUACGACACCUUGGGGCAUCCCGGGGUGUGGAAAGAAUUUCGGUCAAGGAUGAGCUCGCGGCCUAUCAGCUUGGUGGUGAGGUAAAGGCUCACCAAGGCGACGACGGGUAGCCGGCCUGAGAGGGUGACCGGCCACACUGGAACUGAGACACGGUCCAGACUCCUACGGGAGGCAGCAGUGGGGAAUAUUGCACAAUGGGCGAAAGCCUGAUGCAGCAACGCCGCGAGAGGGAUGACGGCCUUCGGGUUGUAAACCUCUUUUAGCAGGGAAGAAGCGAAAGUGACGGUACCUGCAGAAAAAGCACCGGCUAACUACGUGCCAGCCGCCGCCGUAA
rnacentral:rRNA from 1 species